UACGGACAGACUCUUAGAUUUGGAGGAGGUAUGCCUGGAUUGGGCCACGGGCCACCUACAGAUGCUCCUGCCAUGGACACAGUAGAACAAGUCUAUAUCUCUUCUCUGGCACUGUUAAGAAUGUUAAAACGUGGUUGUGCUGGAGUUCCAAUGGAAGUUAUGGGUCUGAUGCUUGAAGAAUUUGUUGAUGAUUACACGGUCAGAGUGAUUGAUGUGUUUGCCAUGCCACAGUCAGGAGCAGGUGUCAGUGUGGAGGCAGUUGAUCCCCAGUGUUCCAAGCUAAGAUGUUAGCUAUGUUGAAGCAGACAGGGAGGCCCGAGAUGGUUGUUGGUUGUAUCACAGUCACCCUGGCUUUUGCUGUUGGCUUUCUGGUGUGGAUAUCAACAGUCAGCAGAGCUUUGAAGCCUUGUCGGAGAGAGCUGUGGCAGUGGUUGUGGAUCCUAUUCAGAGUGCCUUCAGAUUGAUCAAUGAUAAUAUGAUAGUCUUAGGACAUGAACCAAGACAAACAACUUCAAAUCUGGGUCACUUAAACAAGCCAUCUAUUCAGGCAUUAAUUCAUGGACUAAGCAGACAUUAUUACUCCAUUACUAUUAACUAUCGGAAAAAUGAACUGGAACAGAAGAUGUUGGUAAAUUUGCACAAGAAGAGUUGAAUGGAAGGUUUGACACUUCAGGACUACAGUGAACAUUGUAAACACAGUGAAUCAGUGAUAAAAGAGAUGUUGGAAUUAGCCAAGAAUUAUAAUAAGGCUGUAGAAGAAGAAGAUAAGAUGACACCUGAACAGAUGGCAAUAAAGAAUGUCGGCAAGCAGGACCCCAAACGUCAUUUGGAGGAACAUGUGGAUGUACCUAUGACUUCAAAUAUUGUCCAGGGUUUAGCAGCUAUGUUGGAUACUGUUGUAUUUAAAUAAAGCAAU